rnacentral:rRNA from 1 species
UACGUAGGGUGCAAGCGUUAAUCGGAAUUACUGGGCGUAAAGCGUGCGCAGGCGGUUGAUGCAAGACAGAAUGUGAAAGCCCUGGGCUCAACCUGGGAACGGCAUUUAAGAAACUGGCUUACUAGAGUGCGGUAGAGGGGUGUUGGAAUUCCCGGGUGUAGCAGUGAAAUGCGUAGAUAUCGGGAGGAACAUCAGUUGACGAAGCGGCUCUCGUGGACCAGUACUGACGCUGAGGCACGAAAGCGUGGGGAGCAAACAGG